GACGGAGGAUGCAAGCGUUAUCCGGAAUGAUUGGGCGUAAAGCGUCCACAGGUGGCAGUUCAAGUCUGCUGUCAAAGACCGGGGCUUAACUUCGGAAAGGCAGUGGAAACUGAACAGCUAGAGUAUGGUAGGGGCAGAGGGAAUUCCUGGUGUAGCGGUGAAAUGCGUAGAUAUCAGGAAGAACACCGGUGGCGAAAGCGCUCUGCUAGGCCGCAACUGACACUGAGGGACGAAAGCUAGGGGAGCGAAUGGG
rnacentral:rRNA from 1 species